GGGCCCGUAGCUCAGCGGUCAGAGCAGGCGACUCAUAAUCGCUUGGUCACAGGUUCAAAUCCUGUCGGGCCCACCA
rnacentral:tRNA from 1 species